AACAAGGUCUUGGUUCUCUACUGG
rnacentral:siRNA from 1 species